CUGGGAUCAAUAAACACCAGAAGACGUAGUUCCUGGAAGCCUUCCUGAAUCUGAUUAGUAAAGGUUCCAGAAGCAACGUGGCCAGUAAUAAAAGUAACUCUGGAAAAAACUCUACUUUUACUCUGAAGCAGCAGAAAACCUCAGCCUAGCCCCAUAGCCAGUAUUCCUGGAGGAUGUGACGUUGAUAUCAGGCAGAUUUUCAGUGGUGACAGUGGUACAAGCCAUCAGCAGAAGUUUCUGCCAGGUCCUCUUCAGGUUUAUGAUGGAGAUGCCAUCACUUAUUUCCUUUGGCAGAUGUACAGUUAUUUCAAAGUCAGCAUUGAUGUUGCUUCAGUAUAUUCCUGCUGCAAGAAACUUGACAAUAUCCUCCUCCACCAUCUGCAGGAUACUGAGGGCUGAGACAUUGUGAAAGAUUCCCUGGGGUAUGAUAUGAACCCAGGACAUUGCCAUAUGGACCCCGCUUGGGUUGCAGUGCAAAGCUCAACAGGUAUUGUAAAAGGUGAGUGAUGGGGGUUACACUCAGAAUUGUUUUCUGAGGAAUGUGAAUGGGUUUUUCUCCUCUCUCUUAUGACAUUUGACUCAUAAAUAUCUCUUUGGGCAUCAGUCUGUCCCAUUCUCCAGUCCAUUUUCCACACUCCUGUGGGAUCCAUCUCCCUGAAGCAACACUCAUGUCAUUCUACUCACCUUAGCUCAAUCAUUCUGAAUUUCAAUCUCUUUAAGGAAUCAUUUUGCAGUUCUUCCUGACAUUUGCUCAUUGUUCAAACUGGUCUGAAUCUGCCAUUCCAAAUCAAUUUCCCAUGUUUCCUUUUUGGUGGACUACACAUUCCAACAAAUCAGAGCGCUCUAUUACCAACAAAAGCCCAUUCUCUGUUUUUCUGUCUUUAAGUUCCCUGUUACUCUCGCCUAUAUGGCCCUUGCCCUCCAUUUAUCAGUGCCCAACAUUGCUCAUCACUCAAGACCCAGAUCAGAGUUCCUUCCUUUAUCCUUUCACUGGAAAUUGCGAUCCAGCCCUAUCAUUGGCAGAAAUGUACAGUCUUGAAGAAGGUAAUUAACUUCAUCAUGCUUCAGUUUCUUUUUUAUUUUUUUAAAUUUUUAUUUAUUUAUUUUUUGCUGUGCCCAUGGCAUGAGAAAGUUCCUGGGCCAGGAAUUGAACCUGUGCCACAGCAGCUCUCUGAGCUGUUGCUGUGACAAUGCCAGAGCCUUAACCCACUGCACCACAAAAGAACCCUAUGCUUCAGUUUCCUUACCUGUUAAAUGUAAUGAGUUAUAUCUACCUUCUGGCUAUUAAAUAAUGCAUGUAAACCCAUCUCUUACAGUGCCUGGUAUAGGAGUACUUAGUACAUGAAUGAGACUAUUAUUAUUAUUAUUAUUGUGAUUGAUUAAUACUUUUCUAUUACACCUGUACUUUUCACCUUGUAGUCUUUGGAAGAGGAGCCCAUAUUUGCAUCAUGUGUGUUUGUCAUAACCCUUGUUGACAUAUCUGACAAUCAGUAUAAACAGUGAAUAAGAGUGAAUAAAUAAAUAUAUCCUCCUAUACUUUAUUGCUAGUCUCCUCUGUGGCAAAAAGUCUUAUAUUAUUUUCCUAGGGUUGCCACAGUAGAUUGCCAUACAGCGGGUGGCUUAAAAUAUUGGAAACUGAUUCACAGUUUAAGAGGGUAGCAGUCCCCCUCACGGAAGGAACCGCAGGGCUGGUUCCUUCCGUGAGGGGGAAAUUGUUCCAUAUCUCCCCUAGCUUCUAGUAUUGGGUGGCAAUUCCUGUAGUUCCUUAUCCUUGUAGACACGUCCCUUGAAUCUCUGCCUCUGUCUUCAUAAUUGCUCUUUUCUCCAUGUCUCUGUGUCCUCUUUCUUUCUUUUAUUUAUUUAUUUUUUCUUUUUAGGGCUGCACCUGUGGCAUACAGAGGUUCCCAGGCUAGGGGUUGAAUUGGAGCUGCAGCUGCUGCCCUACACCACAGCCACAGCAGCACAGGAUCUGAUCCACGUCUGUGACCUACACCCCAGCUGAGGGCAAUGCUGGAUCCUUAACCCACUGAGCAAGGCCAGGGAUUGAAUCUGGGUCCUCAGGAAUGCUAGUCGGUUUCGUUACUGCUGAGACACAACAGGGACUCCCCAGUGUCCUCUUUCUUACAAGGACAUCAGUCUUUGGAUUUGGGGCCCACUCCAAGUCCAGAAUGAUUUCAUCUCAAGUUCUGAAUGAGGCCACAUUCCCAAGUUUGGGUAGACAUGAAUUUUGUGGCAACAUUAUUCAACCCCCAACAAGUAUGCACAAGUCUCCUUCCCACUUAAAACAAAUUGUAACUGAAAAUAUAAAUUCUAGCUAGACUGCAGAAGUCCAGGCCCUGUCCUACCCUAACUGGAUUAUGGCUUUGGUUACAUCCCUUAACUAUACCCAGUGUCAGUGUCUGCAUGGGUAAAAUAGGAGAAAUAAUAAUAUCGAUUUCAAAGAGUUUCUGUGUAAAUUAAAAGAGAUAAGCCUUAUGAAGGAUUUACUAUAAUCUCGUUAUUAUUAAUCCAUCAAUAAAUGUUGUCUUCUCCUAUUAUUCAUUUUUUAAAUUUUUUAUGGGACAAAUCCCUUCACCUGGAAAGCUCACUACCUUUCCCACUUUUUACCCAAAUCCUAAACUUUUGUGUCUCAGCUUAGGUGUCACUUCCUCAGGGAGGCAUUCUCUGAUGUCUCAACAGAAUCUAAUUGUCCUCAAUCCCUCUUCUCAGUCCUUAUCACAAUUGUAUAAUGACCGAUUAAUUAUUAUGAUCAAAUAAUAAGUGGAUGCACAUUAGGUUAUUAACCUUUGGUGUCUGACCCCCCCCCCCCCAUUGAGGUACACGUUUCCUGGGAAUGAGAAUUCCCUAGUUUGAUAUGGACUCAUAUUGCCUGAGAUUGAAUCCUGGCUCCUUUUCACUUCUUCCUUUGGUGAGUUCCUUAAUGUGCUCAAGUAUCCAUUUCCUCAUAUUAAACGGCUAUAACAACAUAUUUACAUUAAGCAAUUGUACGGAUCGAAUGAGAUCCUGUCUAGAAAACACAAAGCUCACAGUGCCUGGCACCCAAGUGCUUAAAAAUUGCUACUUAGUAUUAAUAUUUUUUUCAUCUCUGGCAUCUAAUUGACUAAGUGAAUGAAUUGACACUGAAUGAAUGAGGUAGGUUAUUGGCCACAUCUAGGAAUACAAUCUAUGCCACGGAACAGUUUGGCCAUUUAAUAUGUUCCAGUAACCUCGUCCUCACUAGAUUUUCUCUAACCAAAGACGCUAAAAAGCCGAAGGGAAGAGGUGCCUAACACCACUAUCCCAAAUAAUUUCCUCUCUUAUAACCUUAUGAUCC
rnacentral:lncRNA from 1 species